CUCUUUCAGGGAUGAAUACCUUACAGGGUCUAGGGUUUAAUCUCCAUUAGAAAGAUUUGCACAGUUCAGCCCUUAUUAAACCAAACCAAUGGGGAUCUGCGUCUUGAAAAAACUAAUCUGGCGAUAAUGCAUUAUUGUACAGUAAUUGUGUUCAUGUGAAAUUUUAACUUGCCAUGUCCUUUAUGGUUGAAUAAGUUUAGAAAUAAAUAUAACUCUAAUGACAAUCUGAGGAUAUAUUUCAGGUAUAGAUAUUUAGAUAAAUUUGAGGUUAUUUUUUUGUCCAGGGGGAUUUUAAAUUGGGUGUGAACACUAAUGUAUGAUGAGUGGCUUUUGGUUCCAACAGUCAAGACUAAUGUUUUACCUGCAUUGUUGAUGUGAAGAGAAAGUUGUAUAACAGAAUACUGUGACUGAAUGUGCUCGACAGCAAGAUUAAUGACUUUUUGCUGCUUUUAUAAGACUGGAUCAUCAUUUGGACAGAUGAUUAUAUAUAUAUAUAUUUUAUCUUUCAUCAGCAUAAUUUCCCAGUCCAGGACAUGGUUUCCUGAGCAGCCCUACCGCCUACACACCACAAAGGGGAAAACCAGUCAACCCUGGGCCAUGACUGCUCUGCUUCCCAACGUCAGUGUUCCUGGGAGUACAGCAGUUCUGCUGCCGACUACCGACUCUUCAUUUAACCUGACAGCAGCUGCUCUGGCAGGACUUGGUUCAGGCCAGUCACUGGCCCCUCUCUGCACACACUGUUGCUGUGGAUUUCUCAAUCGCACCUUGGCAGUGAUUUUCAUGGUCAGCCUGGCAUUUGCCAUUGUGGUUGGAAAUGUUGUCACCCUUACUGUCUUUGUGCAAACGAGGCAGUCACGAACACCACAGGGAUACCUGAAAGUCUCUCUGGCCAUAGCAGACAUGAUGGUCGGUGUCCUUGUGGUCCCUUUCUCUGUCUACACCGAGAUCUCUCUGAUGGUGACCAGCACUCCUCCCAUUUGGUACCAGGGUAGUUCUACUUCCCCAGCCACCUCCUCUUCUCUUGGGGGACUAGUCAGCCCUUGGCAGCCCUGCAUGCUGAUUGGCCCAGUGUUCGCUGGAUGCACUUUUGUCUCUAUCAGCACCAUCUUCCUCAUGACACUGGAGCGAAGUGUGGCCAUCCUACGGCCACUCCACAAGGACGCCUUGGUGACCCGGAGACGAACUCUGCUCCUCAUCCUGCUCUCCUGGGCCGCCAGCUUCCUGCUUGCUCUUGCGCCCCUCAUCUUCAGCAGCAACUUUACUUUGGAGUACAAUGAGUGCAGUCGUAUGUGCAACUACACCCCACUAUUGUUUGGAAGCCAGCUGCCACCUGAUGCCAACAUUUUGCUGUUGUUCCCAGCAUUUGACUUCACAUUGCUCGGUGGCACGUUAGCAGUUAACAUUGUGUCUUUCACUAGCAUCCGACGGUACACCCGAAAACGCAAACUGCUCUCAGAGGGGAGUCUGACUGACGGAGGGGGAGGAGGAGGAGGGGGAGGGUGCCCUCACAGGCCCUCCUUUUCAGACAUCAAAGCUGCCAAGACAAUUGGCAUACUAACAUUUGCCUUCACAGCAUCCUUCACACCCAUCGCAGUGUUUGUGCUCGGGAAUGUGGUGGGAUACACCUGGUGUAACUUUUCCUUUUUUGCCUUCUGGAUUCUGACAGGAAACAGUUGCUGUAAUGUAAUUAUCUACAGUGUCAGGGACCACCGCUUCAGGAAGGGUGUGACACUGCUUUUCCAACGAGAACAGUCCCCCCCACAUGGCGAGAAGACCUGA
rnacentral:lncRNA from 15 species